rnacentral:sRNA from 1 species
GCUGGGUGUGGUGGGGCAUGCCUGUAAUCCCAGUGACUCAGGAGGCUAAGGCCAGAGGAUCACAAGCUCGAGGCCAGCCUCAGCAACUUAGUGAGAACCUGUCUCAA